UACGGGGGGAGCAAGCGUUGUUCGGAUUUACUGGGCGUAAAGGGCGCGUAGGCGGUCAGCACAAGUCAGUUGUGAAAUCUCCGAGCUUAACUCGGAAAGGUCAACUGAAACUGUGCGACUAGAGUGCGGAAGGGGCAACUGGAAUUCUUGGUGUAGCGGUGAAAUGCGUAGAUAUCAAGAGGAACACCUGCGGCGAAGGCGGGUUGCUGGGCCGACACUGACGCUGAAGCGCGAAAGCCAGGGGAGCAAACAGG
rnacentral:rRNA from 1 species